rnacentral:lncRNA from 1 species
CUGGUCUGGGCUGCCACCACCUGGGACCAUGUUGAUGCCCAAGGGCUGUACAGAGCUGGCCCCACACCUCACUGGCUUCCUGCACUCAGGAGAGUGGGCCCACACACCUGGGCAGCACAGUAGAGCUGGCCCUGGUGGCAGGGGCCAAGAGUGAGCUGGGCCUGAGAGGGUAAACACAGGACAGCUGAACCUGCCACCUGCGGUAGGGGCAAUCCUGCAGAUCCAAAGCUGUAGGAUCGCCAUGACACAGGGCAACAACAAGAUGUCCGAGAGGAGUCCUGGUGAGGAUCCAGUAUUGAGAGAAUAGCAGAAGCCAGAGGCCUCGAACCAGACCAAUGACUCACUGCAAUGAACAAGAUGUGUGGCCAAGAGCAUUCUGUGAGACCCACUGUGACCCACUACAACUUUGAUGUCAAGGUACUUCACUCUUAUAAGGAAAACAAAGCUGGAAGAAACAAUUUUAAAUUAAAAAAAAAAGAAUCUAAGGCUGAAGAGACUGUAAAGGAGCCUGAGGCCUGGCUUCUUGCUCUACCCCUGCAGCACUCAGCAGACAGCCACCUCCCAUAGGGCAAGGCAAGGGAGAACAGGGUGAAGAACUCCGGGAGAGGGGACCAGAGGAGGGGGCAACAUUUGGGAUAUAAAUAUAAUUAAUUUUAAAAAUUAAUAAUAAAAAAGGUAACAC